rnacentral:rRNA from 1 species
UCGCUACUACCGAUUGAAUGAUUUAGUGAAUUACAGGGAUUUGAGUACUCAAUUGGGUUUCCUUUUGUGCACUUAAAGAACUGUCGUAAACUUGACCAUUUAGAGGAAGUAA